UACGUAGGGCGCAAGCGUUGUCCGGAAUUAUUGGGCGUAAAGAGCUUGUAGGCGGUUUGUCGCGUCUGCUGUGAAAUUUCGGGGCUCAACCCCGAACUUGCAGUGGGUACGGGCAGACUAGAGUGUGGUAGGGGAGACUGGAAUUUCUGGUGUAGCGGUGAAAUGCGCAGAUAUCAGGAGGAACACCGAUGGCGAAGGCAGGUCUCUGGGCCACUACUGACGCUGAGAAGCGAAAGCAUGGGGAGCGAACAGG
rnacentral:rRNA from 1 species